rnacentral:misc_RNA from 1 species
CUUUACAACUUACGCAAAAUUUCAAUAAUUUAAUUCUCGAUGUUUACGUAUGUCUACUUCAGAUUUGCAUUACUUCUAAUGAAGUUUCCAUUCUCUCGAGUAACAAAUUAUUUUUAAACAACAUGCACUUCUAAAUUUAUUUCUUUUUUAAUUUUCUCUCUCUUAAAAUGUUGAUAUCUUUCUUGAAAUGCAUUAAUAUCUAAGUUUUUAUGUGUGAUUCAGGCGAAUAUUGUAUAUGAUUGAAUUCACAAAGGUAUAAAAAGAGGCUUAAAAGUGAUAGACAGGCUAUAUAAAUCACUUAAACUCGUUAUUUUAAAUCCGAAAUGGCAAUCGCAUCCGUUUUAUCAGAGUUCUCUGUUAUCCGCGGUAACAUCGAUUCACAUUACCUUGGUUAAUCGGGUUCUAUGUAUAUAACACUCUGACAAAAUAGAAUAACAAAAAUCAAAUUAAUUCUUGUUAAUUAUUAAUGCAUAAUUAGCUUUUAUUAAUAAUGGGAAAUUACAACAAUGCUGGAUAAAAGCAUAGAACAGAACUGAUAGUCCAUAUAUUACUAAGGAUUAUCUUGUCAUGUAUUCACAACAGAUUUAUGUCUUGGAACUAUUCUGAAUACAGCGUCAUUAAUCCUUCUGUCCAGAAAUCCUAUAUAAAGCUGGUCUCAUUCGACACUCAACAUCAGUUCACCAUGAGGAAAGAACAGUGUAUCGUUUCUUCCAGAUAUUUCGCCAUGUUUGCCAUUUGGGUAUUUCUAGCAUCUGUUUCUUACUUCAGAAUAGUCGAAGCAGUCGAUUUCCAAGAAGUACGACCAGAAUUGUUAUCUGUCAAUUUCAUCAAAAUGGAAUCUGAACCAAAUCUAGAUUUCAUUUUGCCACGCGAUAGAAGACAGAAAUCUGAUAAUGAAAGACGAAUCGAUGUAUUCGUAGCAAGUCGAGGCAAAAGAGGAGAAUAUGAAAACACCAAUUCGCAACAGACUUCAACUUCUUCGAUUGGACUAAUUUUCGUGGCACCUCGAGGUAGAAGAUCGGAAUCUAAUCUCGUAAUCUAAUCUUGCAAGUAGGAUUUGUUGCAACUCGGGGAUGAAAGUCAAUUUAAACUUGAAAUUAAACGACUAAAAUUUUAUAUUUUGACUAGAA